rnacentral:tRNA from 1 species
GCCCAAGUGGCGGAAUUGGUAGACGCGCUAGUUUCAGGGACUAGUGACUGUAUGGUCGUGAAGGUUCGAGUCCUUUCUUGGGCA